rnacentral:rRNA from 1 species
UCUGGUCCAUAGAGAAGUAAAAGUCGUAACAAGGUUUCCGUAGGUGAACUGCGGAAGGAUCAUAUCGAAUAACAUUGAUAGGCUGUUGCUGGCCCCUCUAUAGGGUAGUGUGCACGCUUGUCAUUUAUUUAUCUAUUUCCACCUGUGCACCCUUUUGUAGGCCUUAGAGAAGACUGCUGUGUGGUCUCACUCUAGGUUCUAUGUCAACUCACAUACUCUUAUGAAUGUAAUAGAAUGUUGAUCUGGGUCUUUGCCCAUAAAGUUUAUAUACAACUUUCAGCAAUGGAUCUCUUGGCUCUCGCAUCGAUGAAGAACGCAGCGAAAUGCGAUAAGUAAUGUGAAUUGCAGAAUUCAGUGAAUCAUCGAAUCUUUGAACGCAUCUUGCGCUCCUUGGUAUUCUGAGGAGCAUGCCUGUUUGAGUGUCAUUAAAUUCUCAACCACACCUGUGUGGUGUGGCUUGGACUUGGGGAGUUGUGUGGGCUUUGUUGUAGUCUGCUUCCCUGAAAUUAAUUAGUGGUACCUUGAGUUGAACCGUCUACAGGUGUGAUAAUUAUCUACAUCCUAGACAUCUGCUGGAAUGCUGCUUUCUAAACAAACCUCUUUUGACAAUCUGACCUCAAAUCCAGGUAGACUACCCGCUGAACUUAAGCAUAACAAUA